UAAGACGAAGGGGGCGAGCGUUGUUCGGAAUCACUGGGCGUAAAGGGCGCGUAGGCGGCGCAGUCAGUCAGGCGUGAAAGCCCCGAGCUCAACUUGGGAAUAGCGCUUGAUACUAUUGUGCUAGAGAGCGGGAGAGGAUGGUGGAAUUCCCAGUGUAGAGGUGAAAUUCGUAGAUAUUGGGAAGAACACCGGUGGCGAAGGCGGCCAUCUGGACCGUUUCUGACGCUGAGGCGCGAAAGCGUGGGGAGCAAACAGGAUUAGAUACCCUGGUAGUCCACGCCGUAAACGAUGAGUGCUGGACGUUGGUGGGCUUGCCCGUCAGUGUCGUAGCUAACGCGAUAAGCACUCCGCCUGGGAAGUACGGCCGCAAGGUUA
rnacentral:rRNA from 1 species